UACGGAGGUCCCAAGCGUUGUUUGGAUUCACUGGGCGUAAAGGGUGCGUAGGUGGUGAGGUAAGUCGGAUGUGAAAGCUCGGAGCUCAACUCCGAAAUGGCAUUGGAAACUACCUUGCUCGAGGGUUGGAGGGGGGACUGGAAUGCUUGGUGUAGCAGUGAAAUGCGUAGAUAUCAAGCGGAACACCAGUGGCGAAGGCGAGUCCCUGGACAACUCCUGACACUGAGGCACGAAAGCUAGGGGAGCAAACAGG
rnacentral:rRNA from 1 species